ACCUUCGGGCCUCUUGCCAUCGGAUGUGCCCAGAUGGGAUUAGCUAGUAGGUGGGGUAACGGCUCACCUAGGCGACGAUCCCUAGCUGGUCUGAGAGGAUGACCAGCCACACUGGAACUGAGACACGGUCCAGACUCCUACGGGAGGCAGCAGUGGGGAAUAUUGCACAAUGGGCGCAAGCCUGAUGCAGCCAUGCCGCGUGUAUGAAGAAGGCCUUCGGGUUGUAAAGUACUUUCAGCGGGGAGGAAGGGAGUAAAGUUAAUACCUUUGCUCAUUGACGUUACCCGCAGAAGAAGCACCGGCUAACUCCGUGCCAGCAGCCGCGGUAAUACGGAGGGUGCAAGCGUUAAUCGGAAUUACUGGGCGUAAAGCGC
rnacentral:rRNA from 1 species